GCAACACCAACACUAAGAUUUAAAAACUUAAUAAUGUAUUUCCGUUUCCUGCUGGCUCUCUUCUGAUAUAUUGUACAAACUAUACGUGUGUGUGUGAAAUUAAUAAACAGUGCUAAUUAUAUAAAAUACGUGUUUUCAAAUAAGUACAACCACAAACUAUCAUCAGGACCUUAACUCAAAUCCAGCCGUCAGUCUACAUUUAUCGAUUUAUCCAUGGUCCUUCGAACAAAAGUUGAGGACUGAAAAGGUUGCAGCAGCCCCAGUCGCCAUCACCUGAAGCUACGCUUAAUUAAGGCGUUAAUUCAUCCAUAUAUCGAUGGAAGUGCUUGGAGGAAGAAAACAACGUGACGUAUAAAAACUGUGCAACACCACACCUACAAUAGUGCCAUACAUUCUCGUUGUCUACAAUAGGUGGCCACAUUUUCUCUGGUUACCCACAGCGAGACAUUACAAUUUGCCGCCCUUUUUCUUGUGCUGGCGCGCCAACGUAAAUCAGAUUCCGAUAUUCAACAUACGAUCGAACAUUAAGAAACAAAUGCAACUAGUCUAUGGUCAACUCAGCGAGCCAAUCCGGUGCGAGAACUCCGUUUCCUGACGUCGCGGUCGAGCCGAACGAAGCCGAAGCAACCCCGGACGCAGCCGAAUGACGUAUUUUUUUUCGAGUAAUUUCAACUUCAACUCAACAAGUCAACAACGCCGCCAUUACUGUUUCUUUGCUUCAUUUCGAUGUGUAUGUAACGCCGGUCUGAUUUAAAAGUGUAUUUCUGAUUAUACAGUUACAUAAUAUUACAAUUUUGUGUUGUCUACAUCAAGUAACUAAUAACUGAUUACUGCAUCGUGACUGUUGUGUCCCCAUUAUUGUAAAUCAAAGCUAAGCGUCACCGUCACCAUAAUGGACAACGAAGAAAGGCGUGCCUCAGCUCUCGAGAACUCCGAGCAGCCUCAUUUAGAGAGGACAAAGAUGACAUGUGGCAUCGGGGUAGCAGCCAGCGAGGAGCCACCAGAUUCCAGCAAGCCUUCCAGCAAGUCUCCAGCGGCAUGCCAGAUAUGUGCUCCUGCCCCUUGAGUCCACGAGCUCCGCUACAGUUUCACCACACAAUGCACACCAUGGGAGUCUGCCGGCACCAACUAUAGUUAACACCAAAUUUGGACACAUCAUAGCUGGCAACACAUAUAACCAUUCAUACUCUCUGCCCUUGGAAAAGCACUGCCUGUUCUGUAAAACCUGUGAUUCAGACAUCACUGAAACUAUUUCAAACUUCUGGCAAGCUGAAAGCGUCCCUGAAGUCUUCACUGAAAAGCUUUCUGAACACAACACUUGUGAGCAAAUAUUCAAGGAGAAUGUAAAACUUGAGAAUAACCGCUUUGAAGUUGCCUUGCCAUUAAAACUGCCACUUGAAUCUGUAAAUGAAACGUUGGGUGACUCACUUCACUUUGCUUUAAAAAGGUUUCAUAACCUAGAAAAAAGGUUACAAAAGGAUAGUCAACUAAACGAUCUGUACAAAAAGUUCAUUGCUGAAUACUUGGCACUUGAU